ACCACAGAUCCUGGCCAUUCACCGACUAGGCGUUGCGGGCACUGACAUGAGACACGAGACACACACGGCAUGGACACCACUAAUAAAAUAUAAUACUAUUAAUAUAGUAAUAUAUUUUUUAUAUAUAUAAAAUAUUAAUUUUGGUAAAAGAUUAUUAUAUUUCACAUACAAAUAAAAAUUAAUAAAAUUUUUAUCGAUAGUUUAUAUAUUUUAAGAAAAAAAAUUCUCUACCAUACAUAAUUUAUUUAUAUUGUCAAAAAAAAAUGCAUUCAUUAAAAAAUUAUAAUAUUUAUUAUCUUAUAUUAUAUAUAUAUAUAUAUAUAUAAAAAUAAAAUAAAAAUAGGUACAUAUAUAUUUUUUAGUUGUUUGUCCUACGGAUCGACAUUAAACGCGUGUGUUCGACACGGACAUGCGAAACUUAUAUAAGUGUCCGUGAUACAUAAUUUA
rnacentral:lncRNA from 1 species